GUGGGGGGCCUUUAGUGAGCAUAUAUGCAUUGGGCUUGGGGCAGUGCUAGUACAGCUCUAGUGGGCGUAGCUCGCAAUAUCAGUGGCACAAAAAUUACAUUGUGUGGAAACACCUUGUGUUCUGUACAGAAAGCAGAGCCUCCUCUGUUUCUAGGAUGAAAGCUGGAGACAAGCCUGUCACUAUUUCCCCCUGCCUACCAAUGGAAGGAUAAAGGCGAGCUUAAGUGAGGAUCUAUUAGUAGCGUAUUCCUCCCUUUUCAUCCCCCUAAGGUUGGCUUUCCCACAGGAAGGCCUAAAAUCAUAGAUGAUAGAAAUCGCCCAAUGGCUUCUUAAAGAAAUUAAUUGAUUUUCUCCAGGUAGCACAGCUUAAAAACAGUGUGAUUGUCGGGAGGUUCCCCUCUGCGCCAUAGGGGUAAUGAAUUAGUUAGACUUUGAAGAAGAAUGUGUAUGGCUCCCACAUGCUCUGUUACUGCCAUGUACCGCCAGAGAGGGGGAUACGUUUUGGAGCUUGUGAACCAAUCCGUUUAUAAUCCUUGACUUGUUUAUACAGUCUAUUUUUUUUCUCUCAUUUUAAUGUAAUUGUGUUUUGUCAAUAUAACCUGUAGGUUUCCACUCCACCAAGGAAUGAAAGAAGGCAGAGAGACUUGAGCAGGAAAGAACUACUACGACUGAACAUGAAGCCUGUUACAGUCCGGACGUGAGAUUUCAAUGGAGAAGACCAGCAUGAGGCAAAAUUGCAGCAAACUCCUCCUGAUCAUGAUGAUGUCUUAGAUUCCCUGUCUUUGUGCAGAAUUUGAGCAACUGAUGCCUGUUCAAGGUCUUUCAUAGAAUUCUGUGUUUUAGACCCAUGUCUCUGAAUACCCUGCAGACAAGAGCAGUGGAGUGAUGUGUAAAGCUGCUGUUCCUUCAUUUUGCCAGAAGAUGGAAAACUUUCCCUAUCUUGACAGAUUUCAGCGUGGUAGCUGUGUUAGUCUGUAUCAGCCACCACAAGUACUCCUCCUUCUUUUCCCUAUCUUGUGUGACACUGAAAAUCCUAAAAACCUGCUAUGUUCUAGCUGUCUGUCUCCUUCCUUCCUUCCAAGCUUUAAGAGGGAGUAAUGCUGUAGGGACCUCUGAAAAUUUGAGCCCCCAUAGGCGCAGACUCUAGUGGCGCUGGUGGGUGCUCAAGCCCCCUCUACCCCCAGCCCUGCCCCAACUCCACCCCUGCUCCGCCUCUCCCACCCCCAUUCCAGUAGUAACUGAUUGACGUAUUCCACCAAAUGGGGAGCUGCAUUUUAGAGGUGACAAAGAGAAACUUUGAUCAUCCUAAUACAAAAUGGCCUCUUCCUGCUCUCAUUAUUCACAUGUAAUUUUGUUUGUGGUGUAUGCCCAAGAAUGAAUUUGAUCUGGGCCUACGCAAAGGUAAUGGGAUCAGGCGGUGGGGGCACAAACCUGAUAAGAGUGCAUGUGAGCACAAACUUAAUAUCGGGGGCAGUGCUAGUAAGUGUAUUGUGCGUAGGUGUUGGAUACAUACAAACCUGAUUUGAUUUGGGUGGGGGGAGAGGGUAUGUGAAUGCACAUAAACCUGAUUGAUGGGGUAUGGACAGGCUAAUUACAAACUAACAAUUGAUGUGUAUUAAGGGAUGCAUGCACUCUUGCUUAGUGGGGGAAAGGGCACCAAUCUAGCCUCUUCCAAUACAACCGUCUACUACAGCAAACAUCCAAAUUGCCAAGGUUUUCUGGGGAAAAGUAACCUGGUAAAAAGUAGAAUAGGAAAAAGUGGCAGAGUUCAGGUGUGGUGUGUGGUCUGUUUGAAUGGAAAGGCUAAUUAUCAUUCAGUAACUCUUAUUUUUAAUAUGGAAUUUUUGUGAACUGGGACACUGAUGCAUCAAUGUAUUUAAGCAUGUUCCUGAUUGGAGCACUAACAGCAGUGGGAUGGCUCACAUACUUUAAGUUAGUCACGUGCAUAAGUACUCUCUGGAAUUGGGGUUUUAAGGCUGAACAAUUACAGGGCUUUUUUAUUCUCCUUUUUCCUGCCUGCCAGGACGGGGGAGCCCAGAUCCCCAG